CCUAUUUUCAGGCCAAACAAACAUCAUCUAGGCGGUUGUCUGGACAAGCUUCUGGAUGUGCAAAGGAUGAGCAUAGGGAAUGGCAAGAUGCAUGGGAUGAAAGGGAUAUAAAUUUCGAGGACCAAGGAAAUAACCCACUUUCAUUUUGGAGCAAGCUAAAGUCAGAG